CCACUUCUCCUCCUCCCCUUGGCCGCCGCCCCCCUGCCCAUCACCUCCUCUCUCAAUUUUUGCAGCCACCAAACCCUAGCCGUCCCCCCCCCAAUCCCCUCCUCCCAAGGUGCCAAUCCUUGCCGCUCGGAUCGUCGUCUCAUGGUGCGAUUCUCCAACCGUUUUGGUGGAGGGAAGAAGGGAGGAAGGAAAGGGGGAGAACCCAAGGUGAUUUUUGUGUUCAUCCCUUGUUCAUUUGCGCUGCGAUUCAAUUGAUUAGAUGUUGCGUUUGCGAUUAGAUAGAGGGGGGCUGUCCAGAAUUUUACGUGGUGGAUGAACAGCGGAAGUUCUAGCAGUUUUUAGGGUUUUUUCGUGAAGAAUUAAUGGGGAUCAAUUUGGGGUCUUGUAGAACUUUGUUUUACCUUUCCAACGGGUAUUUAUGCGCUCAAUUUGGAGUUAUAAAUUAAAAGUUAUCAUCGUUUGAAUCCGGGUGUGUGGCUGUCCAAAUAACAGAUUUUUCAGAGUGAUGAACAGCAGCAGUAUUAGCAGUUUCUGGGGAUUUUUCGGGAGUAAUUAGUGUUAAUCAGUAUGAGAAUCAUGUAGGGCUUUUUCUUAUCUUUCCAACAAGUACUUAUGCGCUCAAAUCGGAAUUAUAUUUUAAAAGUUAUCGCUGUUUGAAUCCGAGUAUGUCGCUGCCCAAAUCAGAAAAAAACAGAUUGCAGGGUUUAUUUUGUGGACCGUUUAGAGGUAAUUAGAUGUUAGAAUUUAAUCAUGAGUCGUAUACAAAACUUGUGGGAAAUUUUAGGUAGUUGUCUCUGAAGUUUUUGUUUGACACCACUGCUGUCCUAAUUUUUAAGUUAUGGAAUUGUUAAGCAGUGCCGCUGCAGUUUGGUUAGUGAGGGGAGAAUUGUUACCGCGGCGGGGUUGAGAUUGCGCGUAGGUGCGGUGUUGUCUUUGAGUUUUUUUAUGUGAAUUUGGUGCACUAAGUUGGGUGUCAAAAACAGGUGGUGGACUUCCGGAUCGUUCUUAGGGAUUUUGCCCAAACUUCGGUGAAGGCAAGUAAAACUGUGAUGGUUAUUCCGUCUGUCUGAUGAGGAGUCUUAUACUUGUUUAUGUUGUGCUAUCAUGUUCAAAUUCAUAUUUUAUUUUGAGUACCAUCAUUUGAAAAUGUUCAUGUUUCAUGGAUUUCGUAUGUUGAGUUUGAGGUUUGAUUAUGUUACUCAAGUGGUUAUUAUGUGGAAUGGUUGGAAGUAAAUGCCUAGCACAUUUUUAUUUGGGAAGAACUUAUGAUGUUGUCAUGCAUAAUGCACUCAUCAUCCAUUGCAUUGAAGUUUCGUCGCGAUCUUAUGGUCCGACCAUACCGGUACAUUGAGCAUCAUAUGUUGCCCGAGAAGGGGUAUGGUGCAGCUUCAUAUCCUUAGAGAUAUGGAGGCAGAAGUCAUUAUUGCAUUUGUAGCCAUGUGCAUUCAUGGGAGAGGUGUUGAAUCUAUUAUGUGGAUGUGGAUAAUUUGGACUUGUGCAUGGUGAUUCUACUUGGCGUUGAGCUUUUAGUUACUUGGUUACUUGCUGCAAUUUACUGUUCAAAAGAAAAGAAAGAAGUCCUGAACACGUGGUUGUGAAAGCACAGUUGAUUUACAAUGUCCUAUUUGUUGUUGUUAUGUUUACUUGCUGAGAUGUGUUAUCUCACAUCUUGCAUUGUUUGAUGCAGGCACCUAAUUUCUGCUUUGGGAAUAGAGGGAUGUAGCAGCACGGCCACUACACCUUUAAUAAAGGAACCACCAUUUAAUAAUGUUGUUAAUCAGAGUUGGACAAGUCUAGUGAAUUGCUUUGUUCUUGGUUGAGCGUUUAUUUUGGGGUGGGCUGAGUUUCUUAUCCCAUUUAUUUUGCUUCAGUUGGGUCAUAAUUAAGUUUUACCACUUUUGCAUUUCAGUUUCUACUAUGUGAAUUAUAUGUCUUUAUAUCUUGUAUGAGCUUCAUGUUUCCCCUCCUUGUUAUGCUAGUUUUCAAAGGAGGUGCUGCCGGAUUUUGCUAUAUAUAUUCUUUCUUUAUUACUUCUCUUGUGUUGAGUAAGUUCCAUGGGUGGGGGUUUGUGGUAUUAUCCAUUGUAUGUGACCAAUGGGGUGUUACAGUUGGUAUCAGAGGAAUAGGCUGUAGGUCCUAGCAAGUGGAGUAGUAAUAAAUUGACACACUGCACAUGUAGGAUGGGAUUUCUAUCUUGCUAUUGAUAUGAUUAUGUUAUGGUCUGUGCUAGCUUUGACAUUAUCUGAAGAGAUGCUAUGCUUAUCUCAUUUACUUAUUGUACUCAUCCCUGUGGCUGCAGCUAUGCCGCCUCGUAGAGCUCGGGGUAGUCCGCAAGCUCCUAGUGGGGACUCGAUGAGUCCGGCGGCAAUGUUAGCCGCGAUGCAGGCCAUGCAGCAGGAGUUGGCCCUUCUGAGGCAAGCCAUUCCUGUCGCCCCUGCGGGUGCUGCUCAGGGUGCUGGAGGUGGAGAAGUGCCCGGGGGCGCUGUCCCUGCGGGUGCUGUUCCAGGUGGCGGGGCCGAGGUGCCUCUUCCAGUCAGUGGUCUUUCUCUGAUGCAGUGGAUGGGCAUGAAGUUGGAUUCUUUUGAUGGCAGUGGUACUCCGGUCGAGGCGGCAGAUUGGUUGACUUAUGUGGAGGAUAAGAUGAAUGUCUUCGAGAUUGCAUAUGGAGAUCGGGUUCGCUUUGGCACUCAGCUGCUGAAGGGAGAGGCGCAAAUUUGGUGGAGAGGCGUGCAGGCAGCGCACUCCUCCUCACCAGGAGUCCUAUCAUGGGAUGUUUUCAUUAGGCAGUUCGAAAGGAGAUUCUACCCGGUCACCUUUCUGGAGAAAAUGAAGAUUGACUUGCAGUCCUAUAAGCAGGAGAAGAAGUCUGUCACAGAGUAUGAGGUGGGCUUCAACAAGAUGGUCCGCUUUGUCCCUCAUGUGGCUUAUAAUGAGAUGGAGAAGGCGAGCCAAUUCCGUCAGGGUCUGAAGCCUUCUAUCAGGCAUGCACUGGGGGCCUUUCCAUUGGUGGACUUCCGUACCACGGUGGAGCAGGCGCUGGGUGUGGAGAUGCAACACCAGUAUACCAUGGAGUCGCAGAAGUCUUCGGGUGUUGAUCAGCCUCGUAGCCAGGACACGAGGAGGGGCAACACUGGAGGUCCAGCUCACAAGAGGGGCAAGUCUCAGCAUCAGCGCCACCAUCCUUACCGUGGCAAAUCUUCUGACUCGGGUACUUCGGGAGGAAGUACUCAGAGGUUUCGGGCCGUUCCUAAGCCCGGGCUGGGGCUGGUGUGUUUCCGUUGUGGAGAUGCGCAUCGCCGUGCAGAGUGCCAGUGGAGUGGCAGGUGUUCGAUCUGCAGUCAGGACCACAAGGAUGUGGUGUGUAGGAGGAAUCCCAAUGGGAAGCUCAGAUGGGAGCUGGUGACUUCCUCCUCUUCUCAGGGCACUAUCAACAUGAUGUCAAGUGCUGAGCAGCAGUUUUCAGUUCCUCUUCCUCCACAGCAGCUUUAUGUGUCUGGGACUUCUCAGUUCGUGCCGAUGCAGGGUUUCCCUCAGUAUCAGGUCGCGCCUACUCCUGCACCGUCUACCCCUGUGCUGACUCAGUUUGGAGCUCCGCGCCAGCCUCCUCCGGUGGCUCAGUGGGGUUCUUCUGUUAAUUUCACUCCGGGAGCUUCCUCUUCUGCGGGUAUUUCUGGAGCUUAUGUGCUACCCGCUACGGAUGGCAGGGAGCAAGGAGACGUGGUGACAGGUACGAUUUUAGUUGAUUCAUUUGCAGCCCAUGCUCUUUUUGACUCUGGCGCUAGCUAUUCGUUUGUUUUGGAGGAUUUUGUGUCGCGGGCUGGUCUUUCGGUGCAGAGGUUGGGUCACCCAAUUUUGGUUAGUUCUGCUAAUGGCUCCAUUAGUAGCUGUUCAGUUUGUCAGGGGUGUUCCGUCAUUCUUGCUGAUGAGGUUUUUUCGGCCAAUCUGGUGGUGAUUUCCUUGGGGGCAUUCGAUGUUAUCUUGGGUAUGGAUUGGUUAUCCCAGUAUCGCGCGGUUAUAUCCUGCUUCUGGAAGAUAGUGUUAUUGCAGGCGCCGUCGGGUAAGGAGGUGGUAUUCUUGGGAAGUUCCCCGAAGUUCACAUUAUCCUUGUUGGCGCAAUUGCUUCCUGAUCGCCGGUCAAGGAAGUCGGGGAUCUUUUUCUCUAUGGUGGUGGAGGGUGAGGCUGCCUUGCGGGUGCAGGACAUCCGGGUGGUGUGUGACUUUGCUGACGUGUUUCCGGCAGAGCUUCUAGGCAUUCCUCCGGAGCGCGAUGCAGCUUUUGAGAUUAAGCUGAUCCCAGGUACACAGCCUAUUCAUAAGGCCCCGUAUCGAAUGGCUCCAAAGGAGCAGAUUGAAUUAAAGCGGCAAUUGGAUGAUCUGCUGGCUAAGGGCUUCAUUAGGCCUAGCAGGUCUCCAUGGGCUUCCCCGGUAUUGUUGUUGAGAAGAAGGAUAAAAGCAAGCGGCUGUGUGUGGAUUAUCGCGCUUUGAAUCAAGUGACAAUCAAGAAUAAAUAUCCGCUUCCCCGAAUUGAGGUCCUCUUUGAGCAGUUGAGGGGUGCCCAGGUGUUCUCCAAAAUUGAUUUGAACUCCGGUUAUCAUCAAUUGAGGAUUCAUGAGGAGGAUAUUGAGAAGACCACCUUUUGCACCAGGUAUGGGCAUUAUGAGUUCAUAGUCAUGUCUUUUGGCUUAACUAAUGCCCCUGCUGCCUUUAUGGAAGCAAUGAAUAGGAUGUUGCAUGAAUUCCUGGACGAUUUUGUGGUCGUAUUCCUGGAUGAUAUUUUGAUUUAUUCAAAGACCGAGGCCGAGCAUGAACAGCAUCUCCGUCUCGUUCUGGGUGCCCUACGGAAGAAUCAAUUCUAUGACAAGUUGAAGAAGUGUGCCUUUUGGCUUUCCGAAGUGGCUUUCCUGGGGCACGUGAUUAAUCAGCAGGGUAUUGCGGUUGAUCCCAAGAAUGUUGCGGCUGUGGUGGAGUGGAAGAGACCUUCUAGUGUCUCUGAAAUCCGAAGUUUCUUGGGGCUUGCUGGGUAUUAUCGGCGCUUCGUACCAAAUUUUUCCAGCAUUGCUAAGCCUUUGACUAGGCUCUUGGAGAAGGGUGUUCCCUUCGUCUGGUCCGGCGAAUGUGAGGUCAGUUAUCAGUCAUUGAAGAGCAAGUUGGUGGACGCCCCUAUCCUAGCUUUGCCUGAGAGCGGUAAGCGUUUCACAGUUUAUACGGAUGCUUCGCGUAUUGGUCUUGGUUGUGUGCUGAUGCAGGAAGGCAGAGUGAUUGCUUAUGGCUCAAGGCAGCUGAGGAAGCAUGAGGGGAAUUAUCCAACUCAUGAUCUGGAAUUGGCCGCGGUGGUUUUUGCUCUAAAGUCGUGGAGGCAUUACCUUUAUGGCGAGGCUUGUGACAUUUUCACCGAUCACAAAAGUCUCAAGUAUAUUUUUACUCAGAAGGAGCUGAAUUUGAGGCAGCGACGGUGGCUGGAAUUGAUUAAAGAUUAUGAUUUGUCCAUUCAUUAUCACCCGGGGAAGGCUAAUGUGGUGGCUGAUGCCCUUAGCAGGUCCGGGGUUCCAAAGGUGGCCUUGCCGUUGAUCGCUGAUCUGGACCCUUUGGGGAUCGCUUUGUGUUAUGUCGGCACUGCUAGCAAGGAGACUCCGAUGCUUAUUCAAUCCUCUCUCAUGGAGAGAGUGCGUGCGGCUCAGCAGCAGGAUCGUCUAUUGCAGGAAGCUCGAAAGACGGUGGGUGAUGGUAAACCGCGGGAGUUCACCAUUGAUGAGAAUGAUUUGGUUCGUUUCAGGGGCCGCCUCUGUGUGCCUCAGAAAUCAGAGGUGAAAAUGGAUAUCUUGAGAGAAGCUCAUAAAACGCCUUACACCGUCCAUCCUGGCGAAACCAAAAUGUACCGAGAUUUGAAGCAAAACUUCUGGUGGAAGCGGAUGAAGGUUGACGUUUCUAAGUAUGUGGCCGCCUGUGAAGUAUGUCAGCGCGUGAAGGCCGAGCAUAAGCGGCUUGCAGGUUUGCUGAAGCCAUUAGAAAUUCCAGAGUGGAAAUGGGAGCAUAUCACCAUGGAUUUUUGUGGUGGGUCUACCUCGUUCCGCUCGUGGCAGGGAUGCUAUUUGGGUGGUAGUGGAUCGCUUGACUAAGUCUGCGCAUUUUAUUCCCAUGAAGACCACAAAUUCAGCUUCAGAUUUGGUUCCCUUGUAUAUGAAGGAAGUAGUCAGGCUUCACAGGGUACCUAAGUCUAUUGUUUCUGAUCGAGACUCCAAAUUUGUAUCCAAAUUCUGGGAGGGUCUCCAUAGUGCUUUGGGCACCAAGCUUUCGCUUAGUGUCGCUUUUCACCCUCAUACGGAUGGUCAGUCAGAGCGAACAAUCCAAACCUUGGAAGACAUGCUGCGUGCUUGUGUUCUGUCAUGGAAGGGUAGCUGGGAGGAUCGUCUUGCUCUGGCAGAGUUUGCUUAUAACAACAGCUACCAGGCUAGCAUCAAGAUGGCACCAUUUGAGGCUUUGUAUGGCAGGCGGUGUAUCUCUCCUCUGUGCUGGGAGACUUUGGGAGAGAGAUCCCUGGUUGGUCCUGAUUGGGUCCAGCAAACUUCUAAAAAGGUUCAGGAAAUUCGUCAGAAUAUUUUGGCAGCUCAGAGUCGUCAGAAGAGUUAUGCUGAUGUGAGGAGGCGGGAUCUGGAAUUUGUUGUGGGUGACCAAGUCCUUCUCAGGGUAUCACCCACUAAGGGAGUUGUUCGGUUCGAUGUCUCUGGGAAGCUCAGCCCGAGAUACAUUGGACCGUUCACUAUCUUGGCUCGAGUGGGCAGCCUGGCUUAUCGCUUGCUGCUGCCGGAUUCCAUGGCGGGGGUACACCCGGUUUUUCAUGUCUCUAUGUUGAGGAAGUUCUUGCGGGAUCCGGACCAUCAGAUUGAGAUGGAACCAAUUGCGGUGCAGCAGGAUCUGACUCUAGAGUGUCGUCCGGUGCGUAUAUUGGAAUUCUCGGAGCGUGUGUUGAGGAAGAGAUCAAUUAAGUAUGUCAAGGUCUUAUGGACUAACCAGUCUGAGCGUGAGGCUACGUGGGAACUUGAGGAACUGAUGCGGCAGAAGUACCCAGAACUUUUCGUUGUGGGUAAGUGUUGUUGAUUCAUUAAUCUUUUCUUUUGUCAUUCCGAUAGAAGCGUCAGAAUUCGAGGUCGAAUUCUUUUUAAGAGGGGUAGAGUGUGAUACCCGGUUUGCAAAGAAGAGAAGUUGGGGGUUGUUCUUUUUGUUUUUUUUCCUCAUCCGGUUGUUGUUUUGGGGAUUUGGAAUUUUGUGGAAAACAUUCACAACUAGGGCAGUAGAAUUUAUUUGGUUUGACGCUAGCGUGGCGGUCGGGAGCUGUCGCGUGGGUUAGUUGGGCCGCAAUAGGUGUUUCGGCCCAUUAACCCUCCCAAACCCUAGCCGCCUCUCUCCUAACCCCCUCCCCCCAUGUGCAGCCCCCCCCCCCCACUUCUCCUCCUCCCCUUGGCCGCCGCCCCCCUGCCCAUCACCUCCUCUCUCAAUUUUUGCAGCCACCAAACCCUAGCCCCCCCCCAAUCCCCUCCUCCCAAGGUGCCAAUCCUUGCCGCUCGGAUCGUCGUCUCGUGGUGCGAUUCUCCAACCGUUUUGGUGGAGGGAGGAAGGGAGGAAGGAAAGGGGGAGAACCCAAGGUGAUUUUUGUGUUCAUCUCUUGUUCAUUUGUGCUGCAAUUCAAUUGAUUAGAUGUUGCGUUUGCGAUUAGAUAGAGGGGGGCCGUCCAGAAUUUUACGUGGUGGAUGAACAGCGGAAGUUCUAGCAGUUUUUAGGGUUUUUUCGUGAAGGAUUAAUGGGGAUCAAUUUGGGGAUCUUGUAGAACUUUGUUUUACCUUUCCAAUGGGUAUUUAUGCGCUCAAUUUGGAGUUAUAAAUUAAAAGUUAUCAUCGUUUGAAUCCGGGUGUGUGGCUGUCCAAAAAACAGAUUUUUCAGAGUGUUGAACAGCAGCAGUAUUAGCAGUUUCUGGGGAUUUUUCGGGAGUAAUUAGUGUUAAUCAGUAUGAGAAUCAUGUAGGGCUUUUUCUUAUCUUUCCAACAAGUACUUAUGCGCUCAAAUCGGAAUUAUAUUUUAAAAGUUAUCGCUGUUUGAAUCCGAGUAUGUCGCUGCCCAAAUCAGAAAAAAACAGAUUGCAGGGUUUAUUUUGUGGACCGUUUAGAGGUAAUUAGAUGUUAGAAUUUAAUCAUGAGUCGUAUACAAAACUUGUGGGAAAUUUUAGGUAGUUGUCUCUGAAGUUUUUGUUUGACACCACUGCUGUCCUAAUUUUUAAGUUAUGGAAUUGUUAAGCAGUGCCGCUGCAGUUUGGUUAGUGAGGGGAGAAUUGUUACCGCGGCGGGGUUGAGAUUGCGCGUAGGUGCGGUGUUGUCUUUGAGUUUUUUUAUGUGAAUUUGGUGCACUAAGUUGGGUGUCAAAAACAGGUGGUGGACUUCCGGAUCGUUCUUAGGGAUUUUGCCCAAACUUCGGUGAAGGCAAGUAAAACUGUGAUGGUUAUUCCGUCUGUCUGAUGAGGAGUCUUAUACUUGUUUAUGUUGUGCUAUCAUGUUCAAAUUCAUAUUUUAUUUUGAGUACCAUCAUUUGAAAAUGUUCAUGUUUCAUGGAUUUCGUAUGUUGAGUUUGAGGUUUGAUUAUGUUACUCAAGUGGUUAUUAUGUGGAAUGGUUGGAAGUAAAUGCCUAGCACAUUUUUAUUUGGGAAGAACUUAUGAUGUUGUCAUGCAUAAUGCACUCAUCAUCCAUUGCAUUGAAGUUUCGUCGCGAUAUUAUGGUCCGACCGUACCGGUACAUUGAGCAUCAUAUGUUGCCCGAGAAGGGGUAUGGUGCAGCUUCAUAUCCUUAGAGAUAUGGAGGCAGAAGUCAUUAUUGCAUUUGUAGCCAUGUGCAUUCAUGGGAGAGGUGUUGAAUCUAUUAUGUGGAUGUGGAUAAUUUGGACUUGUGCAUGGUGAUUCUACUUGGCGUUGAGCUUUUAGUUACUUGGUUACUUGCUGCAAUUUACUGUUCAAAAGAAAAGAAAGAAGUCCUGAACACGUGGUUGUGAAAGCAUAGUUGAUUUACAAUGUCCUAUUUAUUGUUGUUAUGUUUACUUGCUGAGAUGUGUUAUCUCACAUCUUGCAUUGUUUGAUGCAGGCACCUAAUUUCUGCUUUGGGAAUAGAGGGAUGUAGCAGCACGGCCACUACACCUUUAAUAAAGGAACCACCAUUUAAUAAUGUUGUUAAUCAGAGUUGGACAAGUCUAGUGAAUUGCUUUGUUCUUGGUUGAGCGUUUAUUUUGGGGUGGGCUGAGUUUCUUGUCCCAUUUGUUUUGCUUCAGUUGGGUCAUAAUUAAGUUUUACCACUUUUGCAUUUCAGUUUCUACUAUGUGAAUUAUAUGUCUUUAUAUCUUGUAUGAGCUUCAUGUUUCCCCUCCUUGUUAUGCUAGUUUUCAAAGGAGGUGUUGCCGGAUUUUGCU
rnacentral:lncRNA from 1 species